rnacentral:rRNA from 1 species
AUGAAUUUCGUGCACUAUUUACAUUUCUAUCUUGUGGAACAAGCAGGUGAAGUUGGUUAUUUACAGCCGGAACCCGAAGCGGAGGAAGAAGAAGCAGAGCCUGGAGAGGACGACGAGGGACUCGAGCACCCACAGCAGCCGGAACACGACGCUCUCGUACAAGAGCCGGAGGAGGUCGACGCGCGGCAGCCGGCCCCUCCGCUGCCGCAGCGCCGUGGACAGCGCGCGCACGCGCAGCAGCGACCCGCUCCCGGCCGCCGCCGUCAUCUUCUUCCGUAUCCACUCCCGCUUCCUCCCGCCGGCCAUCGGUGGCGAUCGAUCGAUCUUCAGGUCGCCGGUGGGAUCCGAGGUUUCAGCUCCUCUUCUGCUUCGUCUGUUUGGAUGGUAACGCCACUACGCAUGGAGUCCUUUAUGCUCGAGCGCCACGCGGUUUUGCGCAUUUUUUAG